UGCCCCUCGCCGGGUAGGGACCCCCGAAGGCUCCCGGGGGCCGGCCCGCCUCAACUCACGCACGCGACGUCCGCACGGGUCCGUGCCUCACGCCGGCGCUGGGACCUCGACGCUUCGAUCUCUGUGCGCACGGGAUGCGGUGACUGUGGGCGCGGAGGGGGGGACCCAAGGGGCUCAGAUGCCCAGACAUUCCCCCCACCGAGCUGAUGGCCCAUUCCUCCCCGCAGCUCUAAAAUGGUGUGUGUGUCCAAAACACACGUAACACGAAUAUCUGUGCAACUGCUGCAGGGUUGCUGGGAAGCUACUGGAAGUUUUGUCAGGAGGGAAAUGAUCUGAAUCCCGGGUUUAGGUGUUCGGAUGCCCACUCGGGGGCAGUAUGGAGGAAUGGCCUGCCCCUGGCCCAGGGAUGGAGCUGUGUUACAAGAUGUCUCAAUACAAUAUGGAGGGC